AGCAGCCGCGGUAAUUCCAGCUCCAAUAGCGUAUAUUAAAGUUGUUGCAGUUAAAAAGCUCGUAGUUGAAUUUCGGGAUCAGUACGCCGGUCGUGCCUUCGGUACGUACUGGUGUCACUGAUUCCUCCCUUCUGACGAACCGUCAUGCCAUUCACUUGGUGUGGCGGGGAAUCAGGACUGUUACUUUAGAAAAAUUAGAGUGUUUAAAGCAGGCUCACGCUUGAAUACAUUAGCAUGGAAUAAUGAAAUAGGACGUU
rnacentral:rRNA from 1 species